ensembl:rRNA 5S_rRNA 5S ribosomal RNA
UUCCACAGCCAUGUCACCCUGCAGCCCGGGGAGCGGUUACUCCACUGAAGCUAAGCAGGGCUGAGCUGGGUCACUACUGAAAUGGGAGACCACAAUGGCAAAGCUCGGUAGCUGUUAGAA